GGUUGAAUCCACUGCGCGUGGCCCAGGAGUUCAUCAGUCCUGCCUAGGUAAUGAUCCCUCCAUAAACCCCCAAAGCGACAGGGUUCCGAGAGCCUCCGGUUGGUGAGCCCCAGAAGGUGCGGCCCUAGUGGUGCCCGGAGCGGGCAGGGAAGCUCCGCGCCUCGUCCCGUGCCCCGUGCGUCUCUCCCGUCGGGCGGCUCCCAGCUCAGAUCCUUUUGUAGUUAACACCGGCGAUCUGGUAUUUAUCCUUCCAUCUAUCGAAUUAAAAUUGCAAGCACCUGGGUUGAGGUCCCUGGCACUAGCCGGGAGAAGAGAGGCCACUGAGAGCACUAUUGCUAUUCAAGACCUGCUGGACCCCAGGCUUUAGACCAUGUGGUUGACUGACUUCCUCCCUCUAGAUGCCUAGGGGCAAGGUUUGGAAAGACAACUUGCUGAGAAUGUAUGAAGAGUUUGGUGGAAAUUUCCAGAAGCCAGGAGCUAAAGAACUUUAAGAAAAGGAAGAAAAUGUUCUCUGAGUGAAUUUUCUGUUAGUUUGUCUAAUUUCACCGUGUCCUAUAUUGAAAGUUUGCAGAAUUUUGCACGAAGGGUUAUUUUUAUUCAUUUACAUAAACAUAUAAGGGUCCAUUUGCAAGAAAUGGAUACCCAUUGGUGUCUAUAAUCAAUGUGUUAACCUUGCUGAUAGCCCUUACCCUUGAAAUUGCUUAUUUGUCUGCAGACUGUGUGCUUCUAGCACAGAACCUGGCAUGUAGCAAGCUCAGUAACACUUCUUGCCUGAAUGAGAAAUGAAGGUACAAGGUGUUUUGUAGAUGCAUUAGGAAGCCGGAUACUGCCUUUAGGCAGGUUGUCUGGACCAGCCUGAGAGGGGUUAUGGCUGGCUGGUGGGGUUGUUUUCCACUUACUGUACAGUCCAGUGCACUUUAAAUUAGUCACAGUCUCAGAAAGGGGCAGAGCCAAAUUUAAUCCAGAUCCCCUGACUCCCCAUGCUUUCUCUAUUAUUCUCUAUUCAGAGACUGUGUAUCUUGGAAGUAGAGGUACUGCUAUAAAACCUGUAUGGAAUAAUUUGAAUUGUGGUUGCAUCGUUCUGAAUUCAAGCCUUCGAAUGCCAAAGUGCCCAAAGCAUUGCCUUUUUUCCGUCCACUUGUUUAUUAACUCAACAUUAUUGUUGUUCUCCAUUUAAAAAAAUCUUGACGAGAUACUGUGUAGAAUCUAAAGCAUUCCUAAUCUAUCCGAUUAUUUCAAGAAGUAAUUUAAAAUAUUUUAAACGAGUAAGCCUUUCUUUUUGAGAAAUUCUUUUUAGAGAAAUUUGAAUUUCUCUAAUGUAUUUGUUUUGCUUUUAAUGGGUUUAGACUGGUGCUUCUCAAUCUUUUGUUUUCUUUUUUAAAUUGAGGUAUAAUUAAUAAACUAUUAUAAACUAA